rnacentral:rRNA from 1 species
UACGUAGGGUGCGAGCGUUGUCCGGAGUUAUUGGGCGUAAAGGGCUCGUAGGCGGUUUGUCGCGUCGGGAGUGAAAACUCAGGGCUUAACCCUGAGCCUGCUUCCGAUACGGGCAGACUAGAGGUAUGCAGGGGAGAACGGAAUUCCUGGUGUAGCGGUGAAAUGCGCAGAUAUCAGGAGGAACACCGGUGGCGAAGGCGGUUCUCUGGGCAUUACCUGACGCUGAGGAGCGAAAGUGUGGGGAGCAAACGGG